UACGUAGGGUGCGAGCGUUGUCCGGAAUUAUUGGGCGUAAAGGGCUCGUAGGCGGUUUGUCGCGUCGGGAGUGAAAACCCAGGGCUUAACCCUGGGCUGGCUUUCGAUACGGGCAGACUAGAGGUAUGCAGGGGAGAACGGAAUUCCUGGUGUAGGCGGUGAAAUGCGCAGAUAUCAGGAGGAACACCGGUGGCGAAGGCGGUUCUCUGGGCAUUACCUGACGCUGAGGAGCGAAAGUGUGGGAGCGAACAGG
rnacentral:rRNA from 1 species